CCUACGGGGGGCAGCAGUGGGGGAUAUUGCACAAUGGGGGGAACCCUGAUGCAGCGACGCCGCGUGGGUGAAGAAGCGCCUCGGCGCGUAAAGCCCUGUCAGCAGGGAAGAAAAUGACGGUACCUGAAGAAGAAGCCCCGGCUAACUACGUGCCAGCAGCCGCGGUAAUACGUAGGGGGCAAGCGUUAUCCGGCUUUACUGGGUGUAAAGGGGGCGCAGGCGGCGAUGCAAGCCAGGAGUGAAAGCCCGGGGCCCAACCCCGGGACUGCUCUUGGAACUGCGUGGCUGGAGUGCAGGAGGGGCAGGCGGAAUUCCUGGUGUAGCGGUGGAAUGCGUAGAUAUCAGGAGGAACACCGGUGGCGAAGGCGGCCUGCUGGACUGCAACUGACGUUGAGGCCCGAAAGCGUGGGGAGCAAACAGGAUUAGAUACCCCGGUAGUC
rnacentral:rRNA from 1 species